GACGAACGCUGGCGGCGUGCCUAAUACAUGCAAGUCGAACGCAGUGGGGACGGGUGAGUAACACGUGGGUAACCUCCCAUCAGAGGGGAUAACACUUGGAAACAAGUGCUAAACCGAUACUGAUGGAUGGACCCGCGUGGCAUUAGCUAGUGGGUGAGGUAACGUCUCACCAAGGCCACGAGGCAUAGCCGACCGGAGAGGGGGUGCGGCCACCCUGGGACUGAGAUACGGCCCAGACUCCUACGGGAGGCAGCAGUAGGGAAUCGUCGGCAAUGGACGAAAGUCUGACCGAGCAACGCCGCGUGAGGGAAGAAGGUUUUCGGAUCGUAAAACUCUGUUGUGAGAGAAGCGGUAUCUAACCAGAAAGCCACGGCUAACUACGUGCCAGCAGCCGCGGUAAUUC
rnacentral:rRNA from 1 species